rnacentral:lncRNA from 1 species
UUAGAAAUGAUGGUUAACGAGGGAAUAUCAGCUGGGGGUGUUCGAGUGUAGGACAUAUAAACUUGGAAAACUUCGAUGGGAGCGAUAUUGGCGGAUGGUAAGGAGGCAUGAUGGAACGGAAGUAGCAAGAUGAUUACUAGAUCACUCAAUUAAGAUUGGACGACUUAUAUUCGUCGCUUUAUUGCCUAUAAUUUUUUUUAAAAAAAACAGACAACCAUAGAAAAUAUAGCACCUCCCUUGGAUCUCCGGAAUGAGGAUAAUAC